CAAAAAUGUGAAAUGACAGCGUCCCAGUCCUGCUAAAACACAAAGACUAAUCCCUAUCCUCAUGAAGAUAAAUGCCCCGGGUAGAUAAGGAUUGAGCUCAGGUAUUCGAAUCCUAAUGAAACCCCAACGCAUCCCUCCUACCCGUGCUUAUCCAAAGGCAAUCCGUGCGCGAAGAGAAGACCAGGCACGUCGCCUAUAAAUACAGAGCUCUCGGGACGAGGAAAAGGGGGAGGAGGAGAGAAAAAGAGAGCAGCAUACACAGAGACGAGAACCUUGCUAUUGUCUUAGUCCCUGCAUAAAAGAGCAACCCGGAAUCAAUCAAAAACUCAGAGGAAACCGGCAGACCCAUUACCUUCUUAGUUCGUUCAUCUCAAGAACUGAGAAAACAAAAUAAGAGAACAGUGAGCAUAAAGAAAGGAAAACACGAGCGGAAAACACAGAGACCAACAUCAACUUCACUAUCGUUUUCAUCGCCUCCAGCAGAUCAGUUUCUGCUCCAAGUCAUUAGCAACAGACAAAAUAAGGCCAGAAGAACACAAGGAAGAGUGAAAAGGGUGCCCUGCCAAGCAUGGUUCAAUUACACAGAAGGAGCUUUGCCAUCGUCUUCGUCGCCUCCGGCCAACCAGACAUGUUAGUGAAUUUCAUACGAGCAUUCGUACUUGUAAGGAUCGAUGUAGGCAAGGCUGGGUGGUUCAUGUUCCUGCAAAAGAGAAAAGUCAUGAGAAGUUGCACCUAAAGUGCAAGGAGUGGAUUUAAAAAGUUACUUCUUUUUUAAAUGGAAGAUGAUUAUCUUUUUUUCCCAUGCAUCGUGACCCAUUUACGUUGAUAUACUUAUCCGUUUAUGAGAUUAGAAUCGAUGGAUGAUUGACAAAAAAAAAUGCCUGUAGAGGAGCGCGUGCACCUUUCCUGUUUGAAUUUGAUUGUUUACCUGCUUCUUGCUUGGACAUGGUGAUUUUUUUUCCCUUUUUACUCCCUUGCAGGCUGCUUUGAGCUUCAAAGCCACUGGUUUACCCAACCUUGAGUGGGGCUCCUGGUUAAGGAACUCAAAGAUCGAUGCAACCAUGAAAAUAAACUAGGAGAGAAAGGCAACAAAAGAAAGCAGAGUGUGGAAAUGGAUGUUCUAGGACAGACUGCUGAUGCCAGAGUGAGCAUUUAUAGACCUAGAAGGGCUUUCUAGGAAGCUAUUGUAUAAGCAUUUGGUUCUGCUACACCAGGAACAACUUAAAUGAACAAGAAAUUUUUUUUGAUGCACAAUAGUAACAUCAAAUUCAUCCGAUGAACAAAGAUACAAGCAUAAGAAGAUGACCAAGGACAGACAGAUCACUGAAUUUUCUGUUUCUAGUGUACACGGACCACAAAAGAAGGGUCUGCAUUUACAACUCAUAAACGCAAGGAAAACAGCUCAUUGUUUCGUAAUUUGACCCCAUAUUAUAGCCAUCAGUCUUUUCCCAAAUGAGAGGAUACACAGAACAUGGAAUUAUGGUGCUGCAAGAAUACCCUAAUUUCCCCAAUUCCUUUUGGGGAACCCCCCAUUUGUGGAGCAGUGGAAGCCUGGACAGCAUUUAAACAAUAUAAAAGCUGAUAUUUAUUCCUCUUCUUUUAUCCUUUAUAAGUAGCUCUGGUAUCAGCAAGCAGGUGAAAGGUAUCUCAGGGAUUUGUACCUUUAUCUAUGUUGCGAUGGCGACCUCUUAACUUUUCUUUGCAGUAGCCUUCUAUGUAUGCAUGUGUAUAUCCAUUCAAACUUUAUGUUGAAUCCUCUUAUUUAUGUCGAGUUCUCUUAUCUGUGUCAUUAUAAGGUCAAUUUUGGAGAUUUCUUACAAUAAUUUGAUUACACGCAAGUUACAUCAGGGGAGCCAUAGAGCUGGAAAAGGAGCGUUGAGGACUGGAGUGAGGAUCCUAGGACAAACAUGAGAACCUCUUCCCAUUCCACCAGGUGAUCAACACCAAACCUUCUCUCUGUGAAGAAUUAGGCAAGCACCAAGUGCAGUGUACCUUUCAGUUCUCCAAUAAGCAAAUCAAACUUCUGAUGUGCUAUUGCCCACAUUCAUUCAGUUUAUUGAGGAAGCUGUGAACAGCAGACAUAGCACUCCAUCCAAUUUCUGCCCUCCCCUUUAUUAUUUAACUUUGCUCCUCCUUUGACAUCAUUUAAUUUAAGCACAGCAUGCAUCUUUCAUAUUGCUAACCUAUGCCAGCAUUCAUUAAUUUGUUUGUGUUCUCUCUCAGUUAUUCAUAUCAUUAGUUCAUUAAAUAUAAAAUAAGACAGAACAGAAAGGAUUGUUGCCUUUUGCCUUAACACCCAGAGUGCUCUUUCUAAAGGAACAGAUUUUAGCUUUGAUUUAUUUUUUAUACCAAAGCAGCUGCAAAUCACAGCCGAAAUCUCACAUCUACGGUAACAACUUUUCCAUUUCCAUACAUACCCAAAGCAUCGCAUGGUAAUUCUCAACUGCAUUGCACUUUCCUCUAAUUUAUCCACUCAGAAAAACAAA